rnacentral:rRNA from 1 species
GCUUCGCUGACGAGUGGCGGACGGGUGAGUAAUGUCUGGGAAACUGCCUGAUGGAGGGGGAUAACUACUGGAAACGGUAGCUAAUACCGCAUAACGUCGCAAGACCAAAGAGGGGGACCUUCGGGCCUCUUGCCAUCGGAUGUGCCCAGAUGGGAUUAGCUAGUAGGUGGGGUAACGGCUCACCUAGGCGACGAUCCCUAGCUGGUCUGAGAGGAUGACCAGCCACACUGGAACUGAGACACGGUCCAGACUCCUACGGGAGGCAGCAGUGGGGAAUAUUGCACAAUGGGCGCAAGCCUGAUGCAGCCAUGCCGCGUGUAUGAAGAAGGCCUUCGGGUUGUAAAGUACUUUCAGCGGGGAGGAAGGCGAUAAGGUUAAUAACCUUGUCGAUUGACGUUACCCGCAGAAGAAGCACCGGCUAACUCCGUGCCAGCAGCCGCGGUAAUACGGAGGGUGCAAGCGUUAAUCGGAAUUACUGGGCGUAAAGCGCACGCAGGCGGUCUGUCAAGUCGGAUGUGAAAUCCCCGGGCUCAACCUGGGAACUGCAUUCGAAACUGGCAGGCUAGAGUCUUGUAGAGGGGGGUAGAAUUCCAGGUGUAGCGGUGAAAUGCGUAGAGAUCUGGAAGGAAUACCGGUGGGCGAAGCGGCCCCCUGGACAAAAAACUGACCGCUCAGGUGCGAAAAGCGUGGGG